UACGUAGGGGGCAAGCGUUGUCCGGAAUCAUUGGGCGUAAAGAGCGUGUAGGCGGCCCGAUAAGUCCGCUGUGAAAGUCCAGGGCUCAACCCUGGAAUGCCGGUGGAUACUGUCGGGCUCGAAUCCGGAAGAGGUGAGUGGAAUUCCUGGUGUAGCGGUGAAAUGCGCAGAUAUCAGGAGGAACACCAAUGGCGUAGGCAGCUCACUGGGACGGUAUUGACGCUGAGACGCGAAAGCGUGGGGAGCAAACAGG
rnacentral:rRNA from 1 species